rnacentral:lncRNA from 1 species
GGCGUGCGCGUGAUCGCUCCCGGCCGCCGGGGGUCGAGUGUACUCUGCGCGCCCCGCCCGCCGUCGUCUGCCCCCCGCGAGGCUGGGGAGCGCGGCCGAAAGCCAUGCCCCUCUUCGUGCCCACUGUAGCAGCUGAGCGGGAGGGGUCCUGCUGGGGGCCGGGGCCGGGCGGGAAAGAAGAGGGCUCCUCCCCCGCGGCUUGGGAGGGCUGCUGAACGCCGGAGCCUUACAACUGUUAAACUCAGGCAGAGCUCGGGAAAUGCUGCCCGGAUGGGUGACUGAUGGAGAGGGGCUACCACUCUUCCAGCUAAACUCCGCUCUGGUUGGGACCCAGCAAUUAUUUUCCAUAGCGAAGUGUUAAUAAAAUAUCUGUUACUCCCAACACAACCUCCUGGGGGAAGGGACCUGUCUGUCUGCUUCAACUUUGGAUCCUCAGUGCCCACAUCAGGAUACCUGGCCUGAGGUGAGUGCUGUAGAAAUAGCUGUUGAAUGAAUGCAUGAGGGCCUGCUCUGCCUGAGGGCUGGGGACAGAUUGGGUGUUUUCUGUGUCCCCUCCAGAGCAUCCGGUGACCCAGUUUUAGGUCUCAAGGUCACUGCCAAGAAAGAGAAGCUGCUAAAGUGACACCUCUGUGCACCCACAUGACUUAACACAAAAGUUAACAGGAGCUCUUCAAAAACAAGCCUCUCGAGUGUCUGUCUCCUGUUUUCCCUGAGGACAGCAUCAGUGGCAUCAGAUAGGGGUUGGGGCUGGGUGACCUGCUGGUCCUCAGCCAUCACUGUGGCCCAGAGGUCAUUUAAGCAGCUCUCUGCUUAGCAGACAGGCAGAGGGAAUAGAUGGAAGGUACAGGUAAACACUGCAUGUGGCCACCGCGAGGAUACCCCGGAGCCUGGGAAACAGACAGGGACGUCGUAAAACCAACACAUAAUGGACCAGUGCAGAGACAGGCAAAACCAGUCAGAAGAAAUAGGAUGGUGCCUAGCCCAGGGACACCUGACUUAAGAGAGGGUCCUGCCGGUAUUACCCUGGAGGAAGGAAUGCUGCACAGAGGCCGAGAGGAAUUUGAACAGACUGGCCUUGCUGGGUUUUUAUCUCUUUUUGUCCAAUCCCAUUUUGACACAGUUGUCCAUGCUCCAAUCAUGCUUAUCCAAUGAAGUUUCCAUAACAGGCCUGAGAGGACAGGGUUCAGGAGCUUCCGGACAGCUGAGCAGGUGGAGGUUCCUGGAGGGUGGUGUGCCAGGGAGGGUGUGGAAGCUCUGCCCCUUCCCCCAUACCUUGUCCUAUGCAUUCCUUUAUCUGCAUCCUUCAUUUUAUUUUAUUUUUUUUUGAGACGGAGUCUUGCUCUUGUCGUCCAGGCUGGAAUGCAGUGGUGCGCGAUCUUGGCGCACUGCAACCUCCGCCUCCCGAGUUCAAGAGAUUCUCUUGCCUGAGCCUCCCGAGUAGCUGGGAUUACAGGCACCCGCCACCAUCCCUGGCUAAUUUUUGUAUUUUUAGUAGAGAUGGGGUUUCACCAUGUUGGCCAGGUUAGUCUUGAACUCCUGACCUCAGGUGAUCCACCCACCUCAGCCUCCCAAAGUGCUGAGAUUACAGGCGUGAGCCACAGUGCCCGGCCUGUAUCCUUUAUAAUAUCUUUUAUAAACAACCAAUCAGUAAAUGUGUUACUCUGACUUCUGUGAGCUGCUCUAGCAAAUUAAUCAAAUCCACAGAAGGGUCAUGGGAACCCCAACUUGAAGCCUGUCCGUCAGAAGUUCCAGAGUCCUGGACUUGUGACUGGUGUCUGAAGUGGGCAAGUCUUGGGGACUGAGCCCCUAGCCUGUGGGAUCUGAUGCUAUCUCCACAUAGAUAGCAAUGGAAUUGAAUUGGCGGGCACCUGGCUGGUGUCUGCUGCAGAGCUCAUUGUUUGCUUAGUGGUGGAGAGAAGUCUCCCUCCACAUGUGGUCACAGCAUCUUCUGUCUGUGUUGAUUGCUUUUGAUGUUGAUCGAGAGAACAGGAAAAAGCACAUUGAAUGUCUCAAUGAUGAAGAUGACAAUAAUCUGGCUUCUAGGUUGUUAUGCGGCAGGCAACAGCUGUGCAGAUCCUAAUAAUCUACUCUGGGUGACAGUUUAACACAGGGGUUGGCAAAUGUGGCCCACUUCCUAUUUUUAUAAAUAAAGUUUUAUUGAAACAUGGCCAUGCUCAUUCAUUUACAUAUCAUGCUGCUCUGCUAGAGUUGAGUGGUGGUGAUAAGACACCUAUGGUCAAUAGAGUCCUUUACAGAAGAAAGGAUUUACUAUUCGGCCCUUUACAGAAAAAGUCUGUCAUCCUGCCCUCAUUCAUUAGUAGACAACCAGCUGGUUCCUGGACUUCCUUGAGGAAAGUGCUAUAUUAAGCAGUUGUGGGUAUAAAGUCUGGGCUCCAACACUUGCUCUGUGACCUUGGGCAAGUUACUUACCUAGUCUGGGCUCAUCAUUUUCACAGGUAUAACAGGAGUAAUGACAUGGUGGGGAUGAAGUGGGAUAUUGUCUGGACCACGCUUUGCAUAGUGUCUCAUGGCUAGGAAGUACUCUAUACAAAGUAGUUACUAUUAUUAGCUAUUAUAUUUCAACUGAUGAAAGGUACAAAGAAACUCCCAGGAAGCGGGUCAUUGCUGCAUGCCGCUGUCUUUAAAGAACGCCCAGCAGCAAUCCCAUACGUAGCCAACAAGAUAUGUGGACGUCAAAAGUAAGUGCUCCUUGGGUGCAGCACACCAACAUGGCACAUAUAUACACAUGUAACAAACCUGCACGUUGUGCACAUGUACCCUAAAACUUAAAGUAUAAUAAUAAAAAAAUUUUAAAAAAAAGUAAGUGCUCCUAUGCAACAUACCCAGUAAAUUAAUGAUUCCAACUUCCUUUUCAGUUAAAGCAGUGGAUCAGAAUUUGAAAAGGAGUAAAGGUCAAGGCCAUGAGGUCUAACUAACACGGUAGCAUCAGAGCCUGGCCCAUAGUAGGCCCCCAGUGUCUACCGGCUGAAUGGAUGGAGGCUGGUUGUUUAACUGUCAAACCAUACUCUCUGAUGAUAAGACCACAGUUAGCCAGAAGAUAAAGUUUCUGCCUCCAAUAUUUUUGGGUCUUAGAAAGGAAAACAGUUUGCUAAAGAUGACAGGAAACUCAAAACAAGGACCUGUUAAUGCUUCCCCCAACUGGACGGAGGCAUUGCAAAAGGAUUCCUGGGCAACAGAUGGGCAAAGAAAAAUGUUUAAAAACAAAAGCAGGCACAUAAGGUCAUGAAUUGGCCCAAAAUAACCUGGGACACUGAGCAGACGGAUGCAAGCAGUGCACCUGACGGAAAUGAGGCCAAGCUGAUGAGCUGAAAUAGCCUCACUGGUGCCCUCCAUCCUGCUUUAGGAGGCCUCAGCAUGGCAAAGAGGCAUGCAUUAGCGUUAUUAGGUUUAGGUUUCCUCACAUCCUUAGUGGAUUGCCUUCAUUCCUAAGUCCCUAAAAAAUUGGAAACCACUCCACUUACCAGGAGCACACUUUGGAAUGCAGAUCUGGAAGCUAUUUUUUCCCUCCAGACAUUUCAUGACUUUGGUUUCUACAACAGCAGGCGAUGGUGAUGCUGCCAAGUUUCAAGAGAAGGGCACCUUAUCUGCAAAGUCACGAAUCCAAGGAUCCACAUGGGCUCCCACUGGCAAGGGCGGAAGGAAGUUGUGUGUCUUAGCUUCUUGAAAGAUCAGAAGAAGAUUGGGAGGUUUGGGUAUACAGGUACCUCACUGUACUGUGGUGCAACCCCCAGGGGAAAGACUGCUGGUAGCUUCUCAGAAUCAGUAGUGGGUGGGGGCUGUGUAGCAGAGCGUCGUAGUAAAUGCCCAUUUGGUUGCAAUGAACAGAAACUCAAACCAGCUAAAGCAAAAAGAGGGCACCUAUAGGGAAGAAAAGCCAGCUCCUGAUGUCCAAGCCUGACUCUUCAGCUUUGCAUAGCCACUGAUUCUCUGACCUUCCUCAUUUCCUCCCAGUAAACUCUCUUUCUGUUUAAGUUAGCCACAGGAGGUAUCUGUUGUUUACAACCAAGGGAUCUUGAGUGAUACAAAGGGUCCUAGUGGAACCCAAGGGCAGGUACUGGAACUGGCCUUCACAAGGAAGGGAACUGGGAAUCAGAAAGUCAUUGGGAAUCAAGGUAACUUUCUUCUGGGUCAGCUGGGAAUGUAUUCAGCUUCAAAUAGCAGAAAACCCAAUGUGAGUAGAUUGUAAAAAUCUGGAGCUCCUCCCACACAGACUCUGGCUUUAUCUGAUGGGAUAUUAACAAACAUAAGGCAAGUAGAAACUUGAAAAGUGCUUGUGCACUGGGGCUUGUUCUCACCUGCUGUUCUUGGCAACCUGUGGCCACCACAUGUGAACGAGCCUAGUCCAGUCGGCUGAAGGAUGAGUGGGCCUGCUGAGCAGAGACAAAGCGUGGCAGUGGAAGGCCUCUCUAGACCAGGUUUCUCAACCUCAGUGCUACUGACAUUUUAGAUCAAAUAAUUCUUUGUUAUGGGGAGUUCUUUUGUCCAUUGUAGAAUGUUUAGCAGCACCUUUGGCCUCUACCUCUAGAAGAGCACCUGCCCUUCCUUCGUUGUGACAACUAAAAUUAUGUCCAGACAUGGCCAAAGUUCUCUUGGGGGGCAAAAUUGCUCCUUGUUGAGAACUACUACCCUAACCCAACUUGCCUGCCAAGGCCAGGUGUAUGAGGCCAGGUGUAUGAAAGAGGCCAUUCUAAACCAUCCAGCCCCAGCCAAGACAGUCCAGACAGGAAAAGUGUGCAGCUUGACCCAUGGAAUCAAAAGAAAUAAUAAAUAUUUGUCAUUUUAAGUCACUCAGUUUGGGUGGUUUGUUCCACAGCACAAAUACAUAGACCUGACUACAGUGGUUUAAAUAGAUAGGGAUUUCUUUGUCCUAUACAACAGGAAGUACAGAGGUAGGCAGUUCAUUCAUGGUUCAGAGCUCAGUGAUUCUCAGAGAAGGCUCACCCAGGCCUUCUUGUCCCUCCACUCCACUAUCCUUUGGCCUGCUGCUGGUGUCUGCUGAUCCCCAAGGUGGCUGCUCCAGCUUCUGGUCUGAGCUCCAGGAGUGAGAAAGGAGACAAGACAAAGGUACCAAGGGUGAAUGCUUUCACCUAGAGAAGCUGGAAGGGAAGCCCUCCACAGGAGCUUUUCCUUAUAUGUCAUUAGCCAGAUUGGUCCAACAUGGCCCGUCCUAGCUGCAAGGGAGGCGGGAAAAUCAUGGUGAUUAGCUUUGAGCCUAUAUGGUAGAGGAAAGUGAUGGCUGAGCAAUGACUAAGUAGACUUAGUAUCUGCUGAGCAGCUGCAGUAUCUGCUGCACUGCCUCUGUGGGUUUUUUAUCUCUCCUUGUUGCAUAUUUAUUCCAGCCUCCUUUUUUCUGAAGACUGGCUUUGUUUCCCUGAACACAAGUGGGGAAAUGUCUGCUUUAGCCCUGGAACUGCAUCAAGAUUCUCAGCUCUAUAUUUGGGGAUAUGGUACAGUCUAAUACCAGGUUCUUUAUUAGGUUUUUGAACAUUUCUGAGAUUUUCUAGUGUAUUUGUAAAGUCAAGUUACACUCUCCUUUCUUACUGACUUUAUUUUUUUUUUGAGACAAGGUGUUGCUCUGUUGCCCAGGCUGGAAUGCAGUGGUACAGUCAUAGCUCACUGCAGCCUCAACCUCCUGGGCUCAAGCGAUCCUCCCAGCACAGCCUCCCAAAUAGUGGUGACUACUGGCACACACCACCAUGCCAGCUAAUUUUUAAGUUUCUUGUAGAGACAGGGUCUCACUGUGUUGUCCAGGCUGAUCUGGAACUCCUAGGCUCAAGCAAUCCUCCUGCCUCAGCCUCUCAAAGUGUUAGGAUUACAGAUGUGAGCCACCAUGCCUGGCCUCUCACUGGCUUUAGGUCCUAACCAUGUGUAAGAUGUGCCUCCAAUGGAAUAUCACACAAAGAGUUUGUCCUACUUCCCCCAGGUUUAAUGGGUUUAAAGAAUAUAUUUGGUUUUAAAAUAUAAAAAAAAUUUUAUUGUGGCUUUUUAAAAAUAAAAAAAGUAGGCU